CUCCUGUACCCUGCCCAGGAUUUCCGCCUCAAACACCCCUUGCACAUUUAAUUGCUUCUUCUUAUCUUCCUCAAAGCUGACCCAAACUAAUAGGUGACGCUGAUGAUACGGACAGCAAUUACAGGAGCAGUUACACUUCACUGUGUGUGUGUUAUGUGCCAGGCACUGUGCUUACACAAGCAGUUUCCUGGCGGUGAUGACAGCUGACUUUCUUGAGUGUGUUGGAGGACCAUGCAUUACAGCUUUACGUGGCGUGUCUUCAUAAAAUCCAAGGUGAGUAAUGACCUGCCAUGCUCCUGAUUUUACAGAUGUGGAGCUAAAUUAAGUAGUUGCUCAAGGUUAUACAUGUAGUAGGUGGUACAGAGUGAUUCAAACCCUGGUUUGUCCGACUCCAAGGCCCCAUUGCCCAUGUGUCAGAUGUUUGUGCACUCCCUUCCCAGUUUCUACCACACCCAGACACACACAGAGCAUCCCCAUGACUUAUUGAUGAAUGGCACAUGUACAAUUGUUUACUUAAUAUUUUUCUUUAACUGAUUCUUAAAACCUGAAUAUAUUUCUUUGAAAAGGAAACAUAAUAGCCCUAAAAUCAAUGGGAAACUGCUAUCCCCUUCUAUAAAUUAAAGCUUUUUUUUUUCUUUUUUAGGGUCGCACCCUUGGCAUAUGGAGGUUCCCAGGCUAGGGGUCCAAUCGGAGCUACAGCUGCAGGCCUAUGCCACAGCCACAGCAACGCCAGAUCCAAGCCACGUCUGUGACCUACACCACAACUCACAGCAACACUGGAUCCUUAACCCACUGAGCGAGGCCAGGGAUCCAUCCCGAAACCUCAUGGUUUCUAGUUGAUUCAUUUCUGCUGCGCCACGACUGCAACUCCACGAAGAUAUAUAUUUUUUCCUGACAAAACCAGAAAGAUUGAAAAAAAAUUAAAAAGGGACUAAGUUUCUCGGUCUGUGACUCAGUGCUCUUUAACGCUCUGUCUGCCCAUCCCUAAAACCCUUCUGGUGGUAUGCUUUGGGAAAUAAUGACUACCAGGAAAGUGGAGAAUGCUCCUUUGGAUGGAAAAACAAUUUUAUACAAUUGUCCCUUGCCCCCCAAAGAAAAGAAAAAAAUCAAUUUCACUCCUUUUCAGCCUCCGCGGGUUCUCAGUGCACACAGUUGUACCCUCUGGUUUAUCUGGAGGGUGCAAUCUUUCAAAAGUCAAACAAACCCGAGCCUGCAGCAGGAGUGAACGCUGCUUUUUGGGCAGGUGUAUCCGGUAGAGAAACAAAACACUGCUCUCUGUGGUUAGGUGGCCUGGUGCACUGGAGUUCAGCGCAUUCACAAAUCAGCCGCCCUGGAGGGGGCUGAACCACACACUCCGACAGUGUGGGGCCUGCCUGAAAACCUCCCAGUCUCUUUGUUUUGGGAAGGCAGGGACCUGAGCCACAUUGGUGGGAGAGGGUGGGCCAUCCCCUCUGCAUAGGGCCCUUUCCAGUUACUGCCUCCAAGUUACUCGUCGAGACAGUGGGAAAAUCCUGCUGCAAUAGAUCACACAGCUUUCCUGCAGUGUAAAUUCAUGUCAGGAAAUCAUACCCCACUCUCCAGGGUUUCACCCAAAAAGAAGAGACCAGAAUCUGUCCUCUGGAGAUUGGAAAGUGCCUUAAACUCAGCAAGGAGGUGGAGAGGGCGUGUCACCGACCCUCCUUUCUAACUCUGAGUUCUGAAUCAAUUUCCAUUGUGUGUGUGUUUGUAUUUGGUUAGGCAAGUGGUUGGCAAAUUUGGCGGGGCCUGGAAAUCAAGAAAGGCCUGUGGCACCACAGUGGAAAAGGCUGGGAGGCUUCCAUUUAUUAUCACAAAGUCCCAGUCUUGAGCCCACUUUACUGAUGGGAACGUAGAAUCACAACUGAAAUGAGAUCUGAUAGUGAGCCUAUGGCUGAUUCUUCAUUCUGUACUUCUGUCGACCUCUGGAUCUUUGGCAUAUCAUCCUAUUGAAUAAGUCACCAUCCUAAAAUGUAAGUAGUAGAGGAGGAGGAAGAAUCGUGAACAUUUGCUAAGAGCCAAACCCUUUAAAUGCCUCCUCCCAUUUAAUGCUAAAACCUCUGCGGGAGUCUGAUUUAUUUGUCAUCCCCUCUCUGCUAGUAAGAAAAUUGAAACACAAAAAGUUAAUUAUUGGGAGUUCCCUUCGGGGCUCAGUGGUUAACGAACCCAAGUCAGAUCCAUGAGGUUGAGGGUUCAAUCCCUGGCCGUGGUCAGUGGAUUAAGGAUCCGGUGUUGCCAUGAGCGGUGGUAUAGGUCGCAGACAGGGCUCGGAUCCUGCAUUGCUGUAGCUGUGGUGUAGGCCGGCAGCUGUAGCUCCAAUUGGACCCCUAGCCUGGGAACCUCCAUAUGCC
rnacentral:lncRNA from 1 species